rnacentral:rRNA from 1 species
UACGUAGGGGGCAAGCGUUGUCCGGAUUUAUUGGGCGUAAAGAGCGUGUAGGCGGCCAUACAGGUCAGCUGUGAAAACUCGAGGCUCAACCUCGAGACGUCGGUUGAAACCGUAUGGCUAGAGUCCGGAAGAGGAGAGUGGAAUUCCCGGUGUAGCGGUGAAAUGCGCAGAUAUCGGGAAGAACACGCGUGGCGAAAGCGGCUCUCUGGAACGGUACUGACGCUGAGACGCGAAAGCGUGGGGAGCGAACAGG